GACGAACGCUGGCGGCGUGCCUAACACAUGCAAGUUGAGCGACGAACCAGGGCUUGCCCUGGGGCAAAGCAGCGAACGGGUGAGUAACACGUGGGUAACCUGCCCCGAUAACCGGGACAACCCGAGGAAACUCGGGCUAAUACCGGAUGUGCUCGCCGGACACGAGUCCGGUGCGUAAAGGAAGCUUCGGCCUCCGUAUCGGGAGGGGCCCGCGGCCCAUUAGUUAGUUGGUGAGGUAACGGCUCACCAAGACCGCGAUGGGUAGCUGGUCUGAGAGGACGAUCAGCCACACUGGGACUGAGACACGGCCCAGACUCCUACGGGAGGCAGCAGUGGGGAAUCUUGCGCAAUGCGCGAAAGCGUGACGCAGCAACGCCGCGUGAGGGAAGACGGCCUUCGGGUUGUAAACCUCUUUCAGGAGGGACGAAGGUGUGGCGGUGAACAGCCGUCCGCACUGACGGUACCUCCACAAGAAGCCCCGGCUAACUACGUGCCAGCCGCCGCAGUAAAAC
rnacentral:rRNA from 1 species